rnacentral:rRNA from 1 species
AUUGAACGCUGGCGGCAGGCCUAACACAUGCAAGUCGAGCGGCAGCGGAAAGUAGCUUGCUACUUUGCCGGCGAGCGGCGGACGGGUGAGUAAUGUCUGGGAAACUGCCUGAUGGAGGGGGAUAACUACUGGAAACGGUAGCUAAUACCGCAUAACGUCGCAAGACCAAAGAGGGGGACCUUCGGGCCUCUUGCCAUCAGAUGUGCCCAGAUGGGAUUAGCUAGUAGGUGGGGUAAUGGCUCACCUAGGCGACGAUCCCUAGCUGGUCUGAGAGGAUGACCAGCAACACUGGAACUGAGACACGGACCAGACUCCUACGGGGGGCAGCAGUGGUGAAUAUUGCGAAAUGGGCGCGAUCCUGAUGGAGCCAGGCCGCGUGUAUGAAGAAGGCCUUCGGGUUGUAAAGUACUUUCGGCGGGGAGGAAGGCGGUGAAGUUAAUAACUUCACCUAUUGACGUUACCCGCAGAAGAAGCACCGGCUAACUCCGUGCCAGCCGCCGCCGUAA